UUAUAUCUCUGUACGGGAAGGAUGAGAAGCUUCGACUAAGGUUCGAUUCGAGCGUCAGCGAAAGCGUUGCCGCAGGCAACGACCCGAAGGGCGAAGCGCGCAGCGCUGAGUCAUCCUUCCCCACCACCA
rnacentral:sRNA from 1 species